AUUGAACGCUGGCGGCAGGCCUAACACAUGCAAGUCGAGCGGACGAAGGGAGCUUUCUCCUGGCUUCAGCGGCGGACGGGCGAGUAAUGCCUAGGAAUCUGACUGGUCGUGGGGGAUAACGUCCGGACACGGGCGCUGAUACCGCAUCGGUCAAGAUGGUGAAACGGAGGGAUCUUCGGACCUAGCGCUAUCAGAUGAGCCUAGGUCGGAUUAGCUAGUUGGUGGGGUAAAGGCCUACCAAGGCGACGAUCCGUAGCUGGUCUGAGAGGCUGAUCAGUCACACUGGAACUGAGACACGGUCCAGACUCCUACGGGAGGCAGCAGUGGGGAAUAUUGCGCAAUGGGCGAAAGCCUGAUGCAGCCAUGCCGCGUGUGUGAAGAAGGUCUUCGGAUUGUAAAGCACUUUUAGUUGGGAGGAAGGGCAGUAAGUUAAUCCCUGGCUGUUUUGACGUUACCAACACAAUAAGCAACGGCUAACUUCGUG
rnacentral:rRNA from 1 species